AACGUAGGAGACAAACGUUAUCCGGAGUUACUGGGCGUAAAGGGCGUGUAGGUGGUUUCGUAAGUCUGGCGUGAAAUAUCUCGGCUUAACCGAGGCAGGUCGUCGGAUACUGCGGGACUAGAGGACGGUAGAGGCGUGUGGAAUUCCGGGUGUAGUGGUGAAAUGCGUAGAGAUCCGGAGGAACACCAGUGGCGAAGGCGACACGCUGGGCCGGUACUGACGCUGAGGAGCGAAAGCGUGGGGAGCAAACAGG
rnacentral:rRNA from 1 species